ACGGGUCAUGAAGCCCAUAAAGGUCCAGUUUCAUCCUUUGCCAUUUUUGUGGUCUGUGUGUCUCCAGAGAAUUGUAGGGACAGAAAAAUUGUCCCCAAACCUAUCAAAUUGCCUAACCCAGGCCUUUGCACACUCAUUCCCAUUUUCUGUAUCAAAAGACACCGCCCCUCCCAUUUCCCUCAUGAAUUCACACUAAACUACAUUUUAUUUCAGUCUUUUACCAGUUACAUCCCCUAUUAUCUCCCUAUUAUUCCUCUGAUACCCCUCUUUCAGCAUCAGGUCUUGCUGCUCCAGACCAAAAUCCAUAAAAGCAGAAUACCCUCAAUCACCCUCCCCUGUCUGUCUAUUCCAGUGAGGAAUGAAGCAUUUUCCACAGCUUCUGGCAAUCUCCCUCACCCUGCCCUACCCCACAAAGAAUUUGACAACCUCUUGCAAGAUGUAUUGUGGUGCUUCAGUCAAGUGAAAGGAACGAUUGACGCAGGGGUCACAGAAGAGUCUGGAUGAAUGCAGGGAAAUCAUCACAGAAGCACAGACAAAAUUGUAACAUCCUCAUAGGAAGCAUCAAGGUAAAUUAACUCACCCCCCAAGCGUUUGAACAAUAAUGAGACAAAGAAAAAACAACGUAGCUGUAGCUUUUCCCAAGACUUAAGUCUCUUGAUUUCCGUAAAAUAAUGAUUGCAAUGUCUAAGAAACCAUACUUCAUAUUUGUAAGGAAUAUACUGUAUUUUAGUUACCGAGAAUUAAUUUUUUAAAUCCAAUCUCCCUGUUAGGUGUGGCUGGCUGCUUUCUGCUGUAGAAGCAGCUAGAAGCAAUAUGAGAUCUCGGGUAUGGCUAGUCUCCGACUCAUAGUGUAUUCUAGAAACUUAUUUCCCAUCUUGCAGUGAUGCAUGACCUUGAGUUAAGCCUGUAUCCCAUUUAGCUUUAUUCAAUUUGGGUAAAUGCUGCAGGAAUCAGCUUGGCUUAUUAGCCCUCCAGGUUGUUCUGGCUGUCUUUUCUGACCUCAUCAGGACUGACUAUGCCAACAGUAAGUUCCUCUUGUCAAAAAGGAUUGGCAGCAGUUCAUUUUCUCUGUGCAUAUGUAUCUUCAGAUAACUAUGCACUUCCUUAUUUUAUAAUUGAACUGCCAUUGUUACUGCAACUCAUUACUACAAAAAAAGGCCUUGAUACUAACCCUUGCUAAGUAGUGGGUGGCACAGGUAUUAAAAGGCAGAGUUCUGUUACUCUUUCUUCCUUUUUGGUUUGCAUUGGGACUCUCAUGUGACAAAAACACAACUGUAACAAUUUUAACACUUUUGACUGAAAAAAGCAAAAUGCAUUUGUAAAACAUUCAUAAUAAGACAUCCGAUUUCAAUAACUCUCAUUCCAGAAGGAAUACGACGGCAACAAUAAAAUAAUAGGCCUCCAUGCA
rnacentral:lncRNA from 1 species